rnacentral:rRNA from 1 species
UACGUAGGGCGCAAGCGUUGUCCGGAAUUAUUGGGCGUAAAGAGCUCGUAGGCGGUUUGUCACGUCGGGUGUGAAAGCCCGGGGCUUAACCCCGGGUCUGCAUUCGAUACGGGCAGACUAGAGUGUGGUAGGGGAGAAUGGAAUUCCUGGUGUAGCGGUGGAAUGCGCAGAUAUCAGGAGGAACACCGAUGGCGAAGGCAGCUCGCUGGGACGUUACUGACGCUGAGACGCGAAAGCGUGGGGAGCAAACAGG